UCGGGAAUUUUGGGCAAUGGGCGAAAGCCUGACCCAGCAACGCCGCGUGAAGGAUGAAGCUUUUCGGAGUGUAAACUUCAUAAGAAUGGGACGAAGAGAAGGGGGCUAACAUCCCUCUGAUUUGACGGUACCAUUUGUAAGCUCCGGCUAACUCCGUGCCAGCAGCCGCGGUAAUACGGGGGGAGCAAGCGUUGUUCGGAUUUACUGGGCGUAAAGGGCGCGUAGGCGGCGUAACAAGUCACUUGUGAAAUCUCCGGGCUUAACCCGGAGCGGCCAAGUGAUACUGUUGUGCUAGAGUGCGGAAGGGGCUACUGGAAUUCUCGGUGUAGCGGUGAAAUGCGUAGAUAUCGAGAGGAACACCUGCGGCGAAGGCGGGUAGCUGGGCCGACACUGACGCUGAGGCGCGAAAGCCAGGGGAGCGAACGG
rnacentral:rRNA from 1 species